AGUUAAUCGUCUGUUGCUCACACUCCCUGCCAUGUUUUCAGCAUGUGCCCGUCUGUUUGCUAUGAGCAACCAUGCUGGCCUUGCAAAUGGCCACUGUGCAUGUGUAGAGGCUCUGUACAUGCCAGUGCCAUGCAGGGGCAGCUGGGGAAGAUUGCCACCAGCACGCAUGGAGAGCUGGAGGAGUGCCACCAGUAUGGCAAUGGCGGUGAGCAGAGGAAGAGCAGGGAUGGGCCUGCACUCCUCCGUGUUAAAGGGGCUGGGUAACCUCUCGAUUUUAAAGGAAGAACAAAAUCUGAAAACACUACUGGGGGAAACACCUGUAUCGGGGAUCCUGGUUUUGCAAUCUCAAGAAGAUACAACAGUACCAAAGGACAUAAACUGACCAUUAGAAAUCAGAAUAUUUCUUUG